rnacentral:antisense_RNA from 2 species
CUUGACGGAGCCCAGCCACAGCGGCUCGGCGCGGUCCUGCCCGUAGGCGACGAGCAGCGCCUGGGCCUC